rnacentral:rRNA from 1 species
UUCCGGUUGAUCCUGCCAGAGGUUACUGCUAUCGAGGUUCGACUAAGCCAUGCGAGUCGAAUGUAGCAAUACAUGGCGUACUGCUCAGUAACACGUGGAUAACCUGCCCUUAGGACGGGGAUAAACCCGGGAAACUGGGUAUAAUACCCGAUAGAUCUCGAUUGCUGGAAUGCAUCGAGAUCUAAAGCUCCGGCGCCUAAGGAUGGAUCUGCGGCCUAUCAGGUAGUAGUGGGUGUAGCGUACCUACUAGCCUACGACGGGUACGGGUUGUGAGAGCAAGAGCCCGGAGAUGGAUUCUGAGACACGAAUCCAGGCCCUACGGGGUGCAGCAGGCGCGAAAACUUUACAAUGCUGGCAACAGCGAUAAGGGGACCUCGAGUGCCAGGUUACAAAUCUGGCUGUCGUGAUGCCUAAAAAGCAUUGCACAGCAAGGGCCGGGCAAGACCGGUGCCAGCCGCCGCGGUAACACCGGCGGCUCGAGUGGUAACCGUUAUUAUUGGGUCUAAAGGGUCUGUAGCCGGCCGGAUAAGUCUCUUGAGAAAUCUGGCAGCUCAACUGUCAGGCUUUCAGGAGAUACUGUCUGGCUCGAGGCCGGGAGAGGUGAGAGGUACUUCAGGGGUAGGGGUGAAAUCUUGUAAUCCUUGAAGGACCACCAGUGGCGAAGGCGUCUCACCAGAACGGACCUGACGGCAAGGGACGAAAGCUAGGGGCACGAACCGGAUUAGAUACCCGGGUAGUCCUAGCCGUAAACGAUACUCGCUAGGUGUCGGCCACGGUGCGACCGUUGUCGGUGCCGUAGGGGAGCCGUGAAGCGAGCCACCUGGGAAGUACGGCCGCAAGGCUGAAACUUAAAGGAAUUGGCGGG